GUGGGGAAUAUUGGACAAUGGGCGAAAGCCUGAUCCAGCCAUGCCGCGUGAGUGAUGAAGGCCUUAGGGUUGUAAAGCUCUUUCAGUAGGGAAGAUAAUGACGGUACCUACAGAAGAAGCCCCGGCUAACUUCGUGCCAGCAGCCGCGGUAAUACGAAGGGGGCUAGCGUUGUUCGGAUUUACUGGGCGUAAAGCGCACGUAGGCGGAUUGGUCAGUUAGAGGUGAAAUCCUGGAGCUCAACUCCAGAACUGCCUUUAAUACUGCCAGUCUAGAGUCCAGAAGAGGUGAGUGGAACUCCUAGUGUAGAGGUGGAAUUCGUAGAUAUUAGGAAGAACACCAGUGGCGAAGGCGACUCGCUGGACAGGUAUUGACGCUGAGGUGCGAAAGCGUGGGGAGCAAACAGGAUUAGAAACCCUAGUAGUCC
rnacentral:rRNA from 1 species